ACGGCAUUGCUUGUAGAAGAAUUUGAAUGUUUUAACAUUAUUAAUAAUUAACUAGAGGAAAACAAUAUUAAACUACACAAAAUAAUGAAAGAUAUUCUUGCGAUUUAGAAAGAUAAAAGGAAAAAAUUUCGUCUAGCUGAAUGCCGCUGCUGCUGCAUCUGGUUGAUCAAUGUUUUCGCGAAUUCUGCUGCAGAGAAAAAUUUUGUGAUGACAUACUUUUCCAUAACUAAUGAAGGAAGAGCUGAUCCACUCCCCGAAGAGAUCAGAAUCCCCCUUUACAAGCUAAAAAAAAAAAAAAAAAAAAACAUAAAGGUACAACGUCUUUUGACUUCUAUAACAAGACGUAGUCCCAUCAGAUUCGAAAGUAUUAUUACGGAAACUCCGAACGGAUUUUUCUCCUUACCGAACGUAACCCGAGACAUCAAUAGCACAUUGUCGUAAACAUUUCAACAGGUCACAGGAACAAGACAAUGUUCUCCGUUCUUUCAUUCUGUUGAACACUAACUUAGUUGUUCUGCACUCGAAAUAUAAUCCAUCGGCAACAAUGAGUAACAUUAGUCUACGGUCCCAAGACAUUCACAAAAGAUCCUCCUCCUCCUCUUCUGCUUUGUCUAUUGUUAUGACUUUUCAUAUCGGUAGCUCUUCGAUAUAUUUUAAAUUAUAAGCGUGGAAUCUCGUAUUCUCCACUUUCUAGCCAGUCGCAAUAUGGCUCGUUACGCUACUAGUGUGUUGGUGAUUAGAACUGACAAGCAUUCUCCCGGAUCAGUUAUUUGUAGCUUCAAAUGCACACUGGCUGUUUGUCUCAGACAUCUGUUUUUUAUUGAUUUGUUUAUCUCGGAUUACUAAAAAGGCAUAAGCUUAAUUAAGGCAUUUUAUAUUUAUUCUGCGCUAUCAGAUGCAGAUGGUCGGACUGCACUAGAUAAGUUUAAUUUCGAGAUGCGAGAAGGAUAUGAUUCUUUAUUUUUAAUUAAAGGAUAUUUGCCUGUCGUAUUUUUAGCAGAAUCUGUUUAUAAUGGCAGCUUUAAUGGAUGAUCUAAUGAAGUAUCGGGAAUGGAAACUUUGAAACAAUUCUCUGGGAAAAAGAAAAAGAACUUAUUGCUUAGGCUAGUUUUAGUCAGAGGGAAAAAAGAAUAUGAGUUCUUCCCCUAAGAAUGAGAUAAAAGUUUAGCCGAUUUUUACCCUUGUUAAAAUUAAUUUUAUUCCAGAUUUUUUUUAUUUAAUGAUAAAUUCUAUACAAAUCUCGACUGCAACUAUAUUAAUUAAUGCCUGAAUUGGGUCUAAAUUAUCUUCUUUACAGAAUAUUCGUCAGUGAAGCUCAUAAACAUAGUUGGGCUAGACACUUUUACACCAAGACUUACACCGAGAUUUGUAAGCGUGUUCCAGAAAUAACUCUGGAAACUUAGCUGGAUCCUAAAUUAGAACAAUGCGUCUGUAGAGGACUACCAAAAUUUGUCAAAACUUUCUAUUGUACUUCAGUUUAUCUCGAGUCGUUUGUGGAAAAAAAAAUCCUUGGUAUUUGGCCCGCGUGUUUUCGGUAAUGUUUUUAAUUUUAACCAUUCGACGAUUAAAUGAAAAUUCUUUUUUUCAGUUUAUCUAACGAAUAAGUAGCCAAACUGGUCAGUUGGUGUAAAAACUACGAUAAAAAAAAAGCGUUAGAGUCGUGCCACAAGAGCACAGGUGCCGUUCCACUCAGUCUUACAUUUCAAAAUGCUGUUAUUGUAUUCACGGAGAACAACUUUAUUGAUCGUAAGGGUCAACUGAAGUAACCCUCUAAUCUUGUUGAGGUUUUGCGAUUAUGCGGAUACAAAGGCUAGUUUAUUCUAAUACGGAGUGGUAAUUUGAUAUUUUCUAAGACGUCAAGAUUGUUAAUUUAUUACCUAUAAUAAUCUAUUCUGGCUAAAAUGACUAACUUAAAUUGAAAAUUUCUAACAUUAUUCAUUAUUUUUUCGCAUAAAAACGAUUUUGUUUGUAGGCCUACGCUUCAACCACCAGGAUUCGAAAGAAAAAUGUAAGGCCUGCCAGGGUCGGCCUAAAGUUAUCAAUUUCAAAGGCUGUUUACUUAAAUAUCAGUUGUCUUAGAAAGUAUUUAGAAUCCGCCAAAUGUUGAAAAAACAGGUAAUAAAUGUAGUCAUCCCUCAACUUUGUCAAAAUAAACAAAAAUCCGUGCGCUGGGCAAAUAUCAAGAAUUAAAACAUAAUACGUUGAAGAUCGAGUAGACACUAAAGUUUUAUUACUCAUUACUCAUAACUAAGUUUGCAAAAAAAGUGUGAUAAAUAAAACUGCAUAAUCAUAUUUCAAUAUUAAUAAAUGGGUUGUGUUAUUAAUCAACUGCAAUGAUGGUCUGUUACGCUGACUAGUUUAUCACAACCGUGCUGGAAUUUCUUCUUUUAAUGGUUACAGGUACAUCUAAGAAUUUCUAGAGUUUGAGAAUGUUUUGUAAGCAAGAUAUAUAUAUAUAUAUAUAUUUUUUUUUUAACAUUUCUGAAAUGCGAGUUAUCUUCAUUACAACACGUAGAGAGCAGUUAGAACGAUCUAGUGGAUGUUAUGGCAGCAAUAAAGUACCCGACAUCAAACAAUUGCAUUUGAUAUAGGAAAUUAGCCUAUCUUUUAUUACCUGUAAGAUAGACGAGAAUACUGAUCGCGUUUUAAUACAAAACAAAACAAACGCAGACUAAUGAGAUGUACUGGCUUUCAAAACGUGGCUUUUUAUUUCCGCCAUUAAACCCAUAACUGCUAGAAGAAGAAACAACGGCAAGAACCGAUACACAUUAGCAUUAAAAAAAAAAUCGCGCACACACAUAAAUACGCUUCGUUUAUGAAACAGAAUUUUUUUCACUUAUAAUAAGUGGUAAGAUAAAAUAUAUUUUUAUGGCCAGGCAAACUAAAGGCCUCGGAUCACUUCCGUUUACAUUAUAGUGCGCUCCGGAUUAACCCCUCUUAAUUUCGGCUGUUUAACCGAUGUUAAUUACUUUAUUAUGUAGGCUAAGUAUUGUUUAAUUAGAGAAACAAUGGCAGCGUACUAUAUUAAACGUAUUAGACGUUUUUAACAGAACAGAGUUUUCUACCGAUUUACUCGGCUGUUCAAAAAUAAAUAAUUCUCGUUCGGCAAUCAUACCGCCAGUAAAACUAAAAAGUUAAAUCAUAAAUAUAUACCAGAAAAUAAAUUAAAUAUACGAG
rnacentral:lncRNA from 1 species